rnacentral:rRNA from 1 species
CGCGUAGGCGGUUAUUUAAGUCAGAUGUGAAAAACCGAGGCUCAACCUCGGCCUUGCAUUUGAAACUGGAUGACUUGAGGAUGAGAGAGGAAAGUGGAAUUCCUAGUGUAGCGGUGAAAUGCGUAGAUAUUAGGAGGAACACCAGUGGCGAAGGCGACUUUCUGGCUCAUACCUGACGCUGAGGCGCGAAAGCGCGGGGAGCAAACA